rnacentral:rRNA from 1 species
UACAGAGGUCCCAAGCGUUACUGAGAAUCACUGGGUUUAAAGGGUGCGUAGGUGGUCCGUUAAGUUCGUUGUGAAAUCCCCGGGCUCAACCCGGGAAAUGCUUCGAAUACUGGCGGUCUUGAGCCAGCUAGGGGCUACCGGAACAAAUGGUGGAGCGGUGAAAUGCGUAGAUAUCAUUUGGAACGCCAAUGGUGAAAACAGGUAGCUGGGGCUGUGCUGACACUGAGACACGAAAGCCAGGGGAGCAAACGGG